rnacentral:rRNA from 1 species
CUAAAAACUUAGCUUUAACUUCUUUAUAAUACUCAACAUACCUCUUAAUAAACCAAUAAAACAUUUUCUAUGUUUAGUAAAGGCGAUCAAAAAAUACCUAAAAGCUAUAAAAUUAGUACCGCAAGGGAACAGUGAAAUAUUAAUGAAAAACCUCAAGCACACAAAAGCAGAGUUAUAAUCUUGUACCUUUUGCAUCAUGGUCUAACUAGUCUAAUCAAGCAAAAAGAACUUUAAGUCUGACCCCCCGAAACUAGGUGAGCUACUUAGAAACAGCCUCAUGGGCCAACCCGUCUCUGUUGCAAAAGAGUGGGAAGAUUUUUAAGUAGAGGUGAUAAACCUACCGAACCUAGAGAUAGCUGGUUAUUCAGGAAAAGGAUUUAAGUCCUACCUUAGGUUUUUCGUAUCAUAUAAUACCCCCCUAACCUUAAGAGCUAUUCAAAUAAGGUACAGCCUAUUUGAAAUAGGAUACAACCUCAC